UCUCAGGUAGUUCAAUUGGUAAAGAACCUGCCUGCAAUGCAGGAGACCCCGGUUUGAUUCCUGGGUUGGGAA
rnacentral:tRNA from 1 species